UACGUAGGGUGCAAGCGUUAAUCGGAAUUACUGGGCGUAAAGCGUGCGCAGGCGGUUGUGUAAGACAGAUGUGAAAUCCCCGGGCUCAACCUGGGAACUGCAUUUGUGACUGCACAGCUGGAGUGCGGCAGAGGGGACUGGAAUUCCUGGUGUAGCAGUGAAAUGCGUAGAGAUCAGGAGGAAUACCGAUGGCGAAGGCAGGUCCCUGGGCUGACACUGACGCUCAUGCACGAAAGCGUGGGGAGCAAGCAGG
rnacentral:rRNA from 1 species